rnacentral:lncRNA from 1 species
CAACCCGGUAUUUCCGGAAUAUUUACAUGCUCACUUUCAUUGUUCCUCAUAUUGUUUUCUUGUCAUUUUCACUUUCUCUGUUUCCCUUUUUACGCGUGUUUCAUUUCCUCUGUUUUUAAUUUACUUGUAUAGUAAUUUUUAUUUUUGUUGCUGUUUCUCUUAUUUGUUAUCCAUAUUUGCUGCGUGUGUUACUUAAAACUAUAAAUUUCCGUGACUUUGAUUUUUGUUUCCGCCGGAAAUUUUUCCUGGAAACCCUUGCACUUUUCCUUUUAUUCCCCCCAUUGCUUUUGUGGGUGUAUUUUGUUUUCUUGGACAGGUACUUGUUAUUCUCCCCUCUGCUUUUGUGGGUGUAUUGUGUUUUCUUGGACAGGUACCUGUUCCACCGGCGAGGACCUCCGACAACUAUCGUUCAAACUCUCGUUCAGACUCGCGGCAGGACGCAAUAGAGACGCACAUUUUGCUAAGAUUCAGGAAAACUCGGGCGCAGCAAAGCACACUUCCAGGUUUUUCCUCUGGGAGUUGGUACCUCCCGCUCUCUUGCUUAUUUUGUGUACCUUUUUAAGUAUUUUAGCUAGCA